rnacentral:rRNA from 1 species
UUCAGAGAUGAGAAUGUGCCUUCGGGAACCGUGAGACAGGUGCUGCAUGGCUGUCGUCAGCUCGUGUUGUGAAAUGUUGGGUUAAGUCCCGCAACGAGCGCAACCCUUAUCCUUUGUUGCCAGCGGUCCGGCCGGGAACUCAAAGGAGACUGCCAGUGAUAAACUGGAGGAAGGUGGGGAUGACGUCAAGUCAUCAUGGCCCUUACGACCAGGGCUACACACGUGCUACAAUGGCGCAUACAAAGAGAAGCGACCUCGCGAGAGCAAGCGGACCUCAUAAAGUGCGUCGUAGUCCGGAUUGGAGUCUGCAACUCGACUCCAUGAAGUCGGAAUCGCUAGUAAUCGUGGAUCAGAAUGCCACGGUGAAUACGUUCCCGGGCCUUGUACACACC